rnacentral:rRNA from 1 species
UACGUAGGUGGCAAGCGUUGUCCGGAAUUAUUGGGCGUAAAGCGCGCGCAGGCGGUCCUUUAAGUCUGAUGUGAAAGCCCACGGCUCAACCGUGGAGGGUCAUUGGAAACUGGGGGACUUGAGUGCAGAAGAGGAAAGCGGAAUUCCACGGUGGUAGCGGAUGAAAUUGCGUAGAGAUGUGGAGGAACACCAGUGGCGAAAGGCGGCUUCUGGUCUGUAACUGACGCUGAGGAGCGAAAGCGUGGGGAGCAAACAGG